rnacentral:rRNA from 1 species
ACGAUUGCAUAUCAAUAAGCGGAGGAAAAGAAACCAACAGGGAUUGCCCCAGUAACGGCGAGUGAAGCGGCAACAGCUCAAAUUUGAAAUCUGGCCCCAGGCCCGAGUUGUAAUUUGCAGAGGAUGCUUUUGGCGCGGUGCCUUCCGAGUUCCCUGGAACGGGACGCCAUAGAGGGUGAGAGCCCCGUACGGUUGGACACCAAGCCUUUGUAAAGCUCCUUCGACGAGUCGAGUAGUUUGGGAAUGCUGCUCUAAAUGGGAGGUACAUUUCUUCUAAAGCUAAAUAUUGGCCAGAGACCGAUAGCGCACAAGUAGAGUGAUCGAAAGAUGAAAAGCACUUUGAAAAGAGGGUUAAACAGCACGUGAAAUUGUUAAAAGGGAAGCGCUUGUGACCAGACUUGCGUCCGGUGAAUCACCCAGCUCUCGCGGCUGGGGCACUUCGCCGGCACAGGCCAGCAUCAGCUUGCCGUCGGGGACAAAAGCUUCAGGAACGUGGCUCCUCUCGGGGAGUGUUAUAGCCUGUUGCAUAAUACCCUUCGGCGGGCUGAGGUACGCGCUCCGCAAGGAUGCUGGCGUAAUGGUACAUCAGCGACCCGUCUUGAAACAACGGACCAAUC